ACCCCUCUACUCAGCUAAUCCGCCGCCUCUCUAUGGUCAUCAGUCCUCCAGGUAAUAGCGAACAUAGCGGCGAACAGCCCCGGCCCGGCAGGUGAUUUCGCAUGAUUAGUUUCGAGUACUCACCUACGCGUGCGUUGUUUUCGACUCCUCAUUACGCGUGCGAGGGGAGCAGGGGCCGCUGGGAGCCACAAUAGUCUGUUCCCGAGGCAGGCUCCAGGAAUCGACUGCUCGCCUGCACCUCGAGGCUUUGAAGAUUUGAAUGCUAGUUAUGAGUGUCCUGGCGCAUGCGCUCUGUUGCCUCGAGGAUUAACCAUAACAAAGCUCGGCGGAUUUGCUGCGCAGAGCGAGGAACACCUCCGCCGCGUGCCUGUGCGCAUGCGCCCUGGUGCCUGCGGCGCCAAACAAACACGGCCGCAAUUCCAGCUAUUGGCCACGAGGGGGCACCGGAAACCGCGGAAACAUCAACGACUGGCUCGACGCGCAGCCGCGCCGCAGCUUCUGGCGCUCUUCUCCCUGCCGUGAUGGCAGAGGAAAAACGCAGUUAGGUGGGGGUUGAGGGAGGAGAAAAUUACGUCAAUUGGAAAAAGACGAAGAAAACCAAGGAAAACUUCUCUACAUCCAGCAAACCUCUGCUAAGCACGAUAUGUUUGCAUCGGAGAGACGGGGUGUCUCAGGAGCAGAGGCGAGUGAACUACACAGUCAGAGCAGCGCAGAGUUAUGAGUUUUAUUUGGCAUAUGCACACACACAGGUAUCCAUUUUUGAUAGCCCCAGAAGAUGGCAAGCAGAAACUCCCUAAGCAAGUGCAAUAGGAGCACUAGUAAGCUAAACCAGAAUCUCUCUAAGCAAGCACAAUAUUACUUACUGACCUUGAGAGAGGGAUGAAAUUCUGGGAAGGAGUCUGCCUGCAGUGCUCUCAAAACAUAUCAGCAGGGCAUUCCCUGCUUCAAAGUGCAUCUUUCCUCUCUCCUCUACUGCAGCCUCCCUCCUGCUUUUGCUCUCUUCAGAGUCUGCAGCAUUUUUUUCCACCUGCAUGCUGUAUCCGUGCGGCCAACACAUGAUACAGAGCCCAAGUGGAACACCUGCUUGCAAAACAAAUCCUUAUAAAACAAGAUAAGUUUGCAAGGUUUCUCCCUAAUUAAAAAUAAAUAAAAUAAGAUGAAAGGAACAUACAUUUGCAUCUACAGCCUUUAAAACUGUCAGAAUACUUUGUUCCAUCCCAGGAUCAUUCUCCUGUUGGGCCUCUAGACUCUUUCCAAAUUCAUAUAUUUUCAAAUUGUAAUCUUUGAAAGCUGACACCAUUUUCUUGCAAAGCAUUAAGCAUGGGGCCAUGCUAUUUGUCUGCACUGCACUACGCCCUCCCUGUGCCCCUUGGCCAGGCUGGGCUGCUCCAGGAGGCAGAUGAUGUGGCAGGGUGAGCAGGUGGAAGUGUGAGCUGAGCUGGGCUGCGUGUGUCCUGUGGGUUUCAGGUAGGACAAGCCUAGAAUCUUAGUAGAACUGGUUUUUAGCCUUACCAAA